UAAUGCCGGAUGCUCCGACUCCUCGCAUGGGGUGUCGGGAAAGAUUUCAUCGGUAUGGGAUGGGGUCGCGUCCUAUCAGGUAGUCGGCGGGGUAACGGCCCACCGAGCCUACGACGGGUAGCCGGCCUGAGAGGGCGACCGGCCACAUUGGGACUGAGAUACGGCCCAGACUCCUACGGGAGGCAGCAGUGGGGAAUAUUGCACAAUGGGCGCAAGCCUGAUGCAGCGACGCCGCGUGCGGGAUGACGGCCUUCGGGUUGUAAACCGCUUUUGAUCGGGAGCAAGCCUUCGGGUGAGUGUACCUUUCGAAUAAGCACCGGCUAACUACGUGCCAGCAGCCGCGGUAAUACGUAGGGUGCAAGCGUUAUCCGGAAUUAUUGGGCGUAAAGGGCUCGUAGGCGGUUCGUCGCGUCCGGUGUGAAAGUCCAUCGCUUAACGGUGGAUCUGCGCCGGGUACGGGCGGGCUGGAGUGCGGUAGGGGAGACUGGAAUUCCCGGUGUAACGGUGGAAUGUGUAGAUAU
rnacentral:rRNA from 1 species